UAGGGAAUCUUCCACAAUGGACGCAAGUCCGAUGGAGCAACGCUGCGUGAGUGAAGAAGGCUUUCGGAUCGUAAAGCUCUGCUGUUGUUGAAGAAGGAUAGAGGCAGUAACUGGUCUUUAUUUGACGGUAAUCAACCAGAAAGUCACGGCUAACUACGUGCCAGCAGCCGCGGUAAUACGUAGGUGGCAAGCGUUGUCCGGAUUUAUUGGGAGUAAAGCGAGCGCAGGCGGAAUGAUAAGUCUGAUGUGAAAGCCCACGGCUCAACCGUGGAACUGCAUCGGAAACUGUCAGUCUUGAGUGCAGAAGAGGAGAGUGGAAUUCCAUGUGUAGCGGUGGAAUGCGUAGAUAUAUGGAAGAGCACCAGUGGCGAAGGCGGCUCUCUGGUCUGCAACUGACGCUGAGACUCGAAAGAAUGGGUAGCGAACAGG
rnacentral:rRNA from 1 species